AAGGUAUUGCUGCAGCUCAUUACGCAUUCUGUGCAAUGCAAAGUCUCAGCUUUAUUUUUGUCAGAAGCACACGCUGGAUAUAAAGCUCCCUUUUGGCAGGGAAAAGAGAUUUCAGGGCUCCGCAAACCCAGAUUCCUUUGCUUGUGGCUCCAUCCCAGUCGAAGCGUGGUAUUUUCCUUGGAGAUGCAUCAGCAGCAGGAAGAUGAUUCUUUGGGCAGGGUGCGGUGCACAGCAGCCUCCCGUUGGCACCGUGUCGUUCUGCGGAGACGCUCGGCGACACGUCGCUCAGCCUGGCAGUGCUGAUCCAGAGCCACGCGCAGGGGGAGAACGAGCCCCCGCGUUGGAGAGCACGGGAGUGUAGCAGCAGUGCAGGGACACUUGGUUCAUCAGCUGAGGCGGUGUGUUUGUAAAAGAGACCCAGAAACUGGAGGGUUUGGAGUGCACGUGACGACACACGGCGCGUUUUCUUUCGUUCGGCAGGCGGGAGGAAGGGGUCACAAGCGCAAGCUGGAUGAAGACGCCGCCGCCAGUGAAUCCAGCAAGGGAUCCAGCAACGAGGAUGAGGAGGGAAGCAGCUCGGAAGCGGACGAAAUGGCAGCGGCGCUCGAAGCCGAAUUGAACGACUUCAUGUGAGAGCCAGGCAGAAGCCGGGGUCCGUAACGGUGUGGGACUCGUGAGGAGCGGGUGGGGCUGCAGCCAGCCCCUGGCGGCGCUGCUCCAUGGUGCCCGAGAUGUGUGUGUAUAUUUUGCAAAGCAACACAAGAGGUGACACGUUAUUUUGCAGAAUCGGGAGCAGAUGUUUUUAAGGUGUUUUACUAAAGGAAAAUAUACUUUUUUAAACAAACAAAAAGUGUGAAAUGGGACUUGGUGUGCUAUGCCAAAGACGUGUUAGGAGCUCUGCAGAACCUUCAUAGGCAGGACAGCGAUACACAGAUGGGUCACUAGGCGUGCAGCCGCUUGUUAAAAUACGCCGCAGGCUGUGGUCUGUGGGUGACGGUCCUCGGCACGGAGGAGCAGAUCCAGGAGGUGGAAUUGUCUGGGUAGUACAGCAGGAACCUGAUGAACUGGUCACCCUUUUCCACAAAUAAAUGCUGUCAAAUGUAAAAGGGUUUUUAAAGUAAGAAAGAACACUUUAUAUUUGUAUAGAGCAGAGAAUGUGAUAUGCAAGCUUUGUGAACCCCGCUCUUGGCCCACCUGGCGUUUGCUUCUAAGAGCAUACAUAGGGCUCAGAACUCAUGGUUUUAAGUUACUUUGUGGAAUAGUUGGGUUCUUUAGGGACACGGGUUAGAUUUUGAACUUUCCUCUGUAAGCAGAAGUUUAGCACAGCACACUGUGUGAUCCUGUACUGCCACCAGAAGCAUAUUCACCCAUUCGUGUUGUCCUGCAAAGAGCGAGUGCUGCUUCGGUCUAGGUAGGGUUUCAUUUCUUUGACAAGAGAUCUGAUGUAAAGUUUUUUGUAUAUUCUAUUUCAUAUUUGACCCACAAAACAGAUUUUCUUUCAUUUAAUAAAAAUUCAUUUUGUA